GUGAGGAAUAUUGCGCAAUGGGGGCAACCCUGACGCAGCGACGCCGCGUGGAGGACGAAGUCUUUCGGGAUGUAAACUCCUGUCAGUGGGGACGAUAAUGACGGUACCCACAGAGGAAGCACCGGCUAACUCCGUGCCAGCAGCCGCGGUAAGACGGAGGGUGCAAGCGUUGUUCGGAAUUACUGGGCGUAAAGCGUAUGUAGGCGGCAAGUUAAGUUCAAUGUUAAAGCCCACGGCUCAACCGAGGAGAUGCAUUGAAUACUGGCUAGCUAGAGGGUGUUAGAGGAAGACGGAAUUCCCAGUGUAGCGGUGAAAUGCGUAGAUAUUGGGAGGAACAUCGGUAGCGAAAGCGGUCUUCUGGGACAUACCUGACGCUGAGGUACGAAAGCGUGGGGAGCAAACGGGAUUAGAUACCCCGGUAGUCC
rnacentral:rRNA from 1 species